UAGGGAAUCUUCGGCAAUGGGGGCAACCCUGACCGAGCAACGCCGCGUGAGUGAAGAAGGUUUUCGGAUCGUAAAGCUCUGUUGUAAGAGAAAAACGUGUGUGAGAGUGGAAAGUUCACACAGUGACGGUAACUUACCAGAAAGGGACGGCUAACUACGUGGCAG
rnacentral:rRNA from 1 species